UACGUAGGGUGCAAGCGUUGUCCGGAAUUAUUGGGCGUAAAGAGCUCGUAGGCGGUUUGUCGCGUCUGCUGUGAAAUUUCGGGGCUCAACCCCGAACUUGCAGUGGGUACGGGCAGACUAGAGUGUGGUAGGGGAGACUGGAAUUCCUGGUGUAGCGGUGAAAUGCGCAGAUAUCAGGAGGAACACCGGUGGCGAAGGCGGGUCUCUGGGCCGUAACUGACGCUGAGGAGCGAAAGCGUGGGGAGCGAACAGG
rnacentral:rRNA from 1 species